UACGAAGGGGGCAAGCGUUGUUCGGAAUUACUGGGCGUAAAGGGCGCGUAGGCGGUGUGUCAAGUCAGGCGUGAAAGCCCCGGGCUCAACCUGGGAACCGCGCUUGAGACUGGCACGCUCGAGUUCGGGAGAGGAUGGUGGAAUUCCCAGUGUAGAGGUGAAAUUCGUAGAUAUUCGGCGGAACACCAGUGGCGAAGGCGACUCACUGGCCCGAUACUGACGCUGAGGCGCGAAAGCGUGGGGAGCAAACAGG
rnacentral:rRNA from 1 species